rnacentral:rRNA from 1 species
CGAACGGGGGAUGUACAGCGGGAAGAUUUCGGUCGGACCAAGUGCAUGCCUAGUGGCGGACGGGUGAGUAACGCGUGGGUAACCUGCCUUACACAGGGGGAUAACACUUAGAAAUAGGUGCUAAUACCGCAUGAGCGCACAGGACCGCAUGGUCGAGUGUGAAAAACUGAGGUGGUGUAAGAUGGACCCGCGUCUGAUUAGCUGGUUGGUGAGGUAACGGCCCACCAAGGCGACGAUCAGUAGCCGGCCUGAGAGGGUGGACGGCCACAUUGGGACUGAGACACGGCCCAAACUCCUACGGGAGGCAGCAGUGGGGGAUAUUGGACAAUGGGGGGAACCCUGAUCCAGCGACGCCGCGUGAGUGAAGAAGUAUCUCGGUAUGUAAAGCUCUAUCAGCAGGGAAGAAGAAAUGACGGUACCUGAGUAAGAAGCCCCGGCUAACUACGUGCCAGCAGCCGCGGUAAUACGUAGGGGGCAAGCGUUAUCCGGAAUUACUGGGUGUAAAGGGAGCGUAGACGGUGAUGUAAGUCUGGAGUGAAAGGCGGGGGCCCAACCCCCGGACUGCUCCCGAAACUAUGUGACUGGAGUGCAGGAGAGGUGAGCGGAAUUCCUAGUGUAGCGGUGAAAUGCGUAGAUAUUUUUAGAAACACCAGUGGCGAAGGCGGCUCACUGGACUGUAACUGACGUUGAGGCUCGAA